rnacentral:lncRNA from 1 species
CCCACACAAAGAAGCGGGAUGGAUUGGCUUGUCGCUGGAUAUUUGGGGACGCCACACGAGGGUCGAAAACUAACCACGUGACAAUCAGCCAUGUAAAAAGCUAGCUAAUGGUUGAAUAUUAAUGGCACUAAUAUGUAUACCUAGGCAUACUAUUUUUUGAUGAGUGCGUCUGCAAAAGAGCAUAAUAACUAAAUGAUUCUCAGUUAUUGACAUAACAAAAUCAUGCGCCCAUAACCGAGACCGACAUCUAAUGUAAUGUCACGCAACACGCUUUUGAUUUUUUUGGCAGUUGUAUGAUAGGCUUAUGGUAUUUGUAGGGUACAUGGCUGCAAAUGUGACCAAAACCAAGUUUUAUAACUGA